ensembl:lncRNA
CUCCUCGUUUGGAUUAAUUCUGAUAUAAUAACUGUUGGUUUAUUUAUCGGUGGAGCAGCAGAACAUUUUCCACAGACAGUUUUCCUGCCCGUUGGCUUGUUUUAACCAGUUUUGUAUCUUCGGCUGAUUCUACCAGCAGACACUGAAAGGACUCUGAUAGUUCGAGUGAAAGUAGCAGUUCCUCCUGAAGGUCAGAGAUUGCAGCAUCUGAGGGCCUCUUCAAAAGAAGAUGUAGUUGAUGAAGGCGUUCUGGAGCAGGACCAGAAAGACCACGACCAAGCAGCCUUGAGAUCUUAGACAGCGUCUUCCUCAGGUCUCUCUCUAUCUCCCCACACAUCCACCAACCACUGGAACACAUCUCCAAAGUUCUGCUGGGCCAGCUCAGCUUCCCCUCAGAAGAAGUGGCGCCACCUGCCAGAUGAAGGAGCCUUUUGAGAGGCAGCUGGCAUCGUGAUUGGACUGUACUUUGGUCUGUUCCAGUCCAGCUUCAGCUCCAGAGACGGCAGGCGGGACGAGUCAACGGAGGCCGGGUGGACGAAGGCAUGCAGCUGAGUACAAUCCAGAAAACAACAGAGGAGGAGUGCAGUGACCCAGGGCCAGAAGAAACAGAGUAGCAUCGUAUGUCUCUUAGAAAACAUCAUAGUAUAGCCUUUGGUAUGAAAAAAUGCCAUCAUAUACAUCGUAUAUUGUACAAAUAACAAGUCAAAGCAAAGAGACAUACAUUGUAGAAUUGUAGUAAUUGUGGGCUGACUGAUUUACUGAUUAUCAGUAUUUUAUUUUUUACCGAUUUACGGUAAUAAAUACAUUUAAAAAUGGUGCUACUUUGGCUCUGAACCUUGAUCUACCUGUGGUCGCUCUGUCUUCUGGAGUGAUUUGAUUGGUUAUACGUCACGAAUAAAACUCCUUUAACUUAACAUCUGUAAACAAAACAAAAACGUAUCAACAAAGUUUUCUGUUAAAGUUUGUGUUCUUGUAAGUUUAACUCCAAGAUUUUAAAUACUUUCAUUUACUGCAAAUGAAUAUCCAAAUGAAUAUACCCCAAAUGUCUCACUAAUAAUCAUUAUCAGCCUUAAAAACCCACAAAACACCCCUCUAUACUCGACCACACUUAGUACAGUCCGGUUCCCC